GACACGGAGCCAGGCGGACUUGCAGGCAGCGGGGCCACCGCGGCUGCUGGGCGACCUCGGAGCCCUCGAAGCCCUCUGAGCCGCUCGGGCGGGCGCGGCGGUGAGAGCCCGGCGAGGCGGCCUCCUCGGCGAGCCCGGACUAGCAGGUGCCGCUCACGCUGGGCUGAGCGCACGCACACGCACACGCAGACGGGCAGGGCGCGGGCUAGCGGGGACCGCGCGGGGCGGGCCGGAGGCGCGCAGCUGCCGCCGCCACCGCCUCCGCCGCUGCUGGUACUGCCGCUGGUGCUGAUGCUGCGGGCGCUCCGCCAAAGAAGAACAGCUCAGGGAUGCUCAGCGGAGGCAUCAGAGGGCACACAACUUGCUGCCCACUGCAAAGUUGCCGCUUGCCACUUCCUUAUUAUUCGGUUUUCAUCUCCAGGCUGCAAGUCCAAGGAGAGGAUCGAGGCAGACAAGUGAGUCCAUUGUGUGAGUGUUUGCCCGGCAGCAGGCACCUGGCGACGGUCGAGAGGGGGAGAUGUGCGCCACUCACUAGAAGGCUGCCAAAGAUCAGCUACAAGCCAGGCGGCUGAGCAGUGCUUUGGAAGGUGGAAGAAACAAGGAGUUCACCAAGCAUCUGCUGAGGGAUGCCUGUCCCUGGAACAAAGAUGCCAUCAGCCAAUCACUGACAGCUUUGGGAUUCUUCUACUGCUGCCUGUUGCAGAAUCAGCUUUCUGGGCUCUGCAAUGAAUUAAUUUUUCUUCAUCUUUCAUAAACUAUUCUAUCAAACCUGUUUCUCUGUAUUGCUUUGAAUGUGGUUUGCACAAAAUUAGUUGCAAACGUCUGUAUUAUAAAAUAAAUACAGUUUGUUGUCUCUCA
rnacentral:lncRNA from 1 species